UCGUGUUAGGGUGAGUCAGAUUCUAAGGAGGCGCUGUAAACAAAUAUGCAGACGAGAAUCAAGAUAAAAUACAACAAUUUCAACUUAUAUUUACGAUUUUUUACGUUUAUUUUAACAAUAUGAACGUAAAAGAACAUUUAAAUUUAUUUGUUAUGAAUUAGAAAUGCCUAAAGUAGUAGAAAAUAUCCAAUUGGGACUUAGUGCUUGUAGGAUUGGUUUGAGAAAGUGUUGGCAAUGGAUGCGAUGUCACAGACCUUUAGUUAUUGUUCGUGACCAAUAUGAGGUACUCUGUUUAGGUCUGAGUGGUGCAGGUAAAUCCACAGCCUUGGCAACAUUAGUUGGAGAAAAUAUUGAUAAUAUUGAACCAACAACAGGGUUUAAUAUUAAAACACUUCCUUUAAAAGAAACUGUGUUAGAUAUUAAAGAACUUGGAGGAGCAGAUAAUGUACGACCAUUUUGGAAUAGAUAUUUUACUGGUCAGCAUGGAUUAUUAUAUGUAGUAAAUGCAGCCUCAGAUGAUGAUAGUUUAAAGCUUUCAUUAGAAUCAUUAUUGACAGUGUUAUCUGAUCCAGCCAUGAAGGGUAUACCAUGUGUUAUUCUUGCAACACAUGUUGAUUGCUCAGAUUCAAGAACACAGCACAAUUUUAACAAGAACCUGAAUAAAUAUUUUUGGAAAUGGCAGUAGAGCUUAUACCAUCCCAUUCCACAAAAAAAAAAGAAAAAAAAUUGUGUAUAAGAUUUGUAUCUGGAAUUAAAUAAUACUUUUAAUUCUUCAAAGUUUGAAUUUGUUAUGAAAAAUUUUACAAUUGAUUGUUUUGUAGAUGUAUUAAAUAUUAACACAUAAAUGUAUUAUAAUUGGUUAUCCAUCAAAAUUCUCCCUUAAGAAAAAUUUUUGAGUUGUUCUCACAUUAAUGUUUUUGAUCAUACUUUUUCAAUUCAUAUUUUAUCAAAUCUAGUCUUCCAUGUUCAUCUCUUCUGUACAAAUUUGUUUGUAAUUUAUCCAUGUAUAAAAUUCUCUUUAAUUUGGUAUACUGUAUUAUAAACUUUGCAUGUCACCCAUCAAUCACUAUAAAUCUGACAAACUAAAAUCUUCUUUAAAGAAGUGUAAAUUGGCAUUGAUACUUGAAAUUGACUAUGUUAAAUCGUACAAAUUGUUAAAUUUGAAAAUUAUAUAAAUUUGGCUCAAGUAUUCAUAUGUUCAAUAAUAAUUGCUUGUAAAAAAAAUAUUCAUAGAAAACAAAACAGAUUUUGUCACACUGUAUGUAUAAAAAAAAUAUUUUCCUGAAUGUGGAUGGAUAAGAUGAACUAUUAGUCAACUAAUAUGUAUGAAAUAUUGUUUCUGAUUAAUAAAACUUAUUUCAAAUUUAA